GAUGAACGCUGGCGGCGUGCCUAAUACAUGCAAGUCGAGCGAACGGACGAGAAGCUUGCUUCUCUGAUGUUAGCGGCGGACGGGUGAGUAACACGUGGAUAACCUACCUAUAAGACUGGGAUAACUUCGGGAAACCGUAGCUAAUACCGGAUAAUAUUUUGAACCGCAUGGUUCAAAAGUGAAAGACGGUCUUGCUGUCACUUAUAGAUGGAUCCGCGCUGCAUUAGCUAGUUGGUAAGGUAACGGCUUACCAAGGCAACGAUGCAUAGCCGACCUGAGAGAGUGAUCGGCCACACUGGAACUGAGACACGGUCCAGACUCCUACGGGAGGCAGCAGUAGGGAAUCGUACGCAAUGGGCGAAAGCAUGACGGAGCGACGCCGCGUGAGUGAUGAAGGUCUUCGGAUCGUAAAACUCUGUUAUUAGGGAAGAACAGAUGUGUAAGUAACUGAGCACAUCGUGACGGUACCUAAUCAGAAAGCCACGGCUAACUACGUG
rnacentral:rRNA from 1 species